rnacentral:rRNA from 1 species
CCUACGGGUGGCAGCAGUGAGGAAUAUUGGUCAAUGGGCGGGAGCCUGAACCAGCCAAGUAGCGUGCGGGAAGAAGGCACUAAGUAUUGUAAACCUCUUUUGCCAGGGGAUAAAAUCUUCCACGUGUGGAGGUCUGAGGGUACCUUGUGAAAAAGGAUCGGCUAACUCCGUACCAGCAGCCGCGGUAAUACGGAGGAUGCGAGCGUUAUCCGGAUUUAUUGGGUUUAAAGGGGGCGUAGGCGGCGGGUCAAGUCAGCGGUAAAAUGUCGGGGCUCAACCGCACACGGCCGUUGAAACUGGCGUGCUUGAGUACGGGAGAGGUAGGCGGAAUUCGUGGUGUAGCGGUGAAAUGCAUAGAUAUCACGAAGAACCCCGAUUGCGAAGGAAGCAUACCGGCGUGACACUGACGCUGAGGCACGAAAGCGUGGGUAUCAAACAGGAUUAGAUACCCUUGUAGUC